GUGAGUUUUGAAAAUGUAUUUUUUAAAAUAUAUAUAUUCAACUAAUGUUCUUUUGGUGGAUUAGGCAAUUUUCAUUUACACAAACACACAAUAUUAGGUAAGUCUUCUAAAAACAGCAUGGAGCAGAGCUUGCACAGAUAAAAUACAUUACAUCCAUUCAUUAAUAGUCAAUAUUCAUGUGAAGUAUUUUCUGCGUUGACUAGGGACCGGGGCCACUAGCCUCUAGCAGGCUUGCACGCAUGGUUUCCUUCUGAUGGAACUUGACUUUGUGCUUCACCUUUUCUUUUGCAGUUUUCAGGGCGGAGGAGACUUGCGCCCACCUCAUAUUUAUAAUUCAUUACAACUGACUGCUGGGCUGUCAGACUAUUCAAAUGAGACAUCACACAAGCCCAUUUCCCCAUCAUGCUACAGACUACCGUUGGCCUGGCCAAUAACAAUGACCCGACACUGCAGGACCAGCAAUGCAUUGCUAAUACCUAAAGAGAAAUGUACCUCUUUACCUCUUUUCUUGGCACUGAGCUCGGUCCAGGCUGAUGGAAGUAAACCAGAUGCAUUAUUCAGUCCAUAUGUCUUGCUAAAGCAAGCUCUUUUUGAUCUUAAACUGAUAGGCCAAGCAUGGGCUUGGGGGCCUUGAGGCGCGGACCGCGGGGGCUCUUCACUGCAGCAUACCAGCGGUUGAUUCAGGCAGGGUGAAUAAGAGAGCUUUUCUUCGCUCUACCUACUUCUUCUUCUAUUCAUUUGUUCAUCCCCAGUGCUCAGUCCAUCCUUCUACCUUUAUCCAUGCUUUGCUGCUCCCAUUUUCUACCUCUCUCGGACUGUUAACUUUAGAAAACUGGGGCGUAAGCAAUCUUGCGUGUAGUAAACUAUGUAUGAGGACUUUAAUAGGUGCUAGGAGAGAGAGAGAAAGGACGCAAAGGUUUUACCUUCGGCAAGUGCAAAAGCGGUAACGUUUCAGUGUAGUUUAGUUAGUUGGCAGGAUUACAUAAAACUACCAUUGUACCAUUUGGCAACCAGUGAGUGUUUUCCAUUGUAAUAUUGUGAGAAACUGCACAAAAUCAAGCCGCAUUGAGCAUCGUCCAAGAAAAGGGCAAAAUGGAGACAAUGGAGUAUAAUACUCUCAUUUCUAACUCUCUCCCCUCAAACGUUACAAUGCUAUGUCUGCUAUAGUAGUGGUUUAUGUUACCCAUAUAGUUCCAGCUCAGCAGCUGACCAAGUACUAAAAAUACUACCAGUACAUAGUUUUGCCAUUAAAAUUGCAGGAAUAGCAGGUCAAGCCAUGGUGAGCCGUGCGUAAGGUACCUUGCAGAGGCAACGUGACAACGUAUUAAACCUACAGCAAAAGGGACACCGUGGACUAUAAUUCUGCAGGCAGUUGAUACGCUAACGUGGUGUUGGUAUUUCUUGCCAAAGCUACAACAAUGUUGCAGCAAUGACUCAGAGGGACGUGUUCAGCAUUGUUGGGCCUUUGCGUGUCUUUUUUGUUUUUCUUUGUGCUUAUGUCCAGUGUGAUUUCAACUCUAUCUCUGUGCUGACUUCUUUAUUUUCCUCCAGUGAGCCCGUGCUCCACAUGCCCCUUUCCUUUUGUUGCUGCCUCUUGCCACACCCCAGCCCCCACCACCACCACCUUUGAAGCCUUGCCAGCGAAGACUGCGAUUCAGAACAGAAGCGUAGUUCAGUUUGGUGGAGGCUUUGGCCCAGCAUACCACUUUCUUUCCUUCUUUCCUUCUUUCCUUCUUUCCUUCUUUCCUUCUUUCCUUCUUUCCUUCUUUCCUUCUUUCCUUCUUUCCUUCUUUCCUUCUUUCCUUCUUUCCUUCUUUCUUCCCUCCUCACUGCUCGUCUUGAUCUCCUCCUCCAGUGCCCAACAUCAAAAGUGUGAAGUGCAUGCCGAGAGAGAGAGGGAGAGGGAGAGGAACUGUAGAUACCCACUGCUGCCCCGUCAUCAUCAGCUACCCAUGGAGACCCCGUUGAUUGUUGUCCAUGGCCACUGGCUGUCCAUCCACUGGUCUUUCCUUGUUGUUGGCUCAGCUGAAUAUGGAAUCAAUAUUCAUUCCACUCUUGUGUGCACUGGUCCCGCAGGCCAAGCCGGCUCUGCCUCACAUUGCAUGGGGGCGGCGUGUCAUGCUAGCCAGAUGAAAACCAAAGCGCGGUGACGGUGGCGGCGGACAAUGCUCAUUCGUCUUCGAGCCUGCAGCUUCCGGCGCCCGCUGUCGCCUCCUCUUUUUUUUUUUUUUUUAUUUAGGAAGAAAAGAAGGCGAGCUGACAUUAUCGGCCGCUGCAGGCGCAUUUGAAAAUAAUUGCCUGUAUGAUUGCUAUUUUUCUUACCUCUUUGAGGAGGUGUAGCCUUUGUCUCCAAAUCAAUGGCUGCUCAAUACCGGACAGAGGAAAGGCAGCUUCCUUUCAUGUCUUGACUGAAAAGCGAAUAUUUUUAGUCCUAUUCAUUUUUAGCAGCGUCUGCCAUGCAGUUUUAAUCUACCGUUUCUUUCCUGCUGAAUGGAAGGGAUUCAGAGGUUCCUCGGAGGUGCGCCACGCUGUGUCAGAGAAAAGGCGUGCUAGCUUCAUGUCAUCCCGUCACUAUCCCUCUGCCUUUUGUCUAUAAUUUAUUUGAUCAGCCCAAACUGAAAAGGCCUCCGCUCUGCUAUUUCAGGAUGGCUGGACUCUAGGGACGGCGAGCAAGGUGCUGCAUUCAUUUGUAUCUGCUUUGUGUUUAAAAGGAAUCAGCCAUUGUGUGUUUUUGCUCCCCACUUUAUGCCCUAACACACUUAGCACAACAACAGAUGGCCGAGUGUCAUCAGAGCGUUGAUUCAAGCCGCUUAUUUCCAUGGAAAGAGUCGCCGCGGAGGAAGAGACGCUGGUCCAAAUGGCUGUUUAUUCUGCCACAAGUCAUCCCUUGGGUGCUGUGAAGGAAGGUCUACCCUACAGUAGGACAUCAAUGCGCUGUUUACCGCGCCUUGGCCAUGUCCAGGCCCGCUACAGUAAAUCACGCUAAUUGAUCAGCAGCUUUGCAGUGCACAGGGUUUAAAUGAAGGUUGUUUAAUCGUUAUAGAGACACAAAGUGUUUGGCUCUUCGCACCGGGUGCCGGUUGCCAAGUGCUGUGUGUGUGUGUGUUGGGGGGGGGCAUCAUGGAGUGGCUUAACUACUAAAUUAAAAAGACAUUUGGAAAGAUGGAUGCUCACGCUGAGAUAAAGGCAUCCAAUUCCAAUGGGAGAACUUCUCAAGUAGGGCGAAGCCACCAAUGUCACCAUGGUUCCAAAUGUUCAAGCCUUCGCUUUGUACUCGACUACGCACUCAGCAGCCACUUUAUUAUCCACACCAGAUCUAAGAGAGCCAUUGUGAGAGCCGUAUCAAAAAUACCGGCUCUGUUUUAGAUUGACACUGCCAGAGUGGUAUUCAUGUAGCGGCAUGUGUAUUUCUGUGUUUGGACUGUCGACUGGUUGGCGACCCCUGCCCUGCACUCUUAAAAAUGCUGGGUUAUUUUUUUGACCCAAUCGCUGGGUUGAGCCUGUUGGGUCAUUUAAUUGGGUUCUUUUUAUUGAGUUGGGUAUUCUGAGAACCCAAUUCGCUGGGUUAUCUCUGUUGGGUGCUGAGUUAUUUGCUGCUGGGUUGUGAUUUCCAUUAUAUUGUGCUGGGUUAUUUUGGACAAUCCAAAGCGUUGGGUAGAAUUUUGGACACGCGCAACAAAGCCCCGCCCACAAACUUACUUCGUUCGGACCCCACAUUUCAUCUGAGGAGACGAAUUUCAGCACAGAGCAAGGUUUGUUACAUGCCCACUAUUGUUUUACCGUAGAAUUGACUUUAUAUUAUUAUAUAAAGCUUCAUAAACUUGUUAAAAUGUAAGUUCGUGAAGCACUGUUGAGUACUAGCUUCAGGAAUGGAUCGGUAACCUUAGCAAACUUCCAUUCCCUCCAAAAGUGGCAAGCGAACACAUUCGCUGGCGAGCUAUGUAGGAACCAAACUAUGUUGUUGAAGUUACAAGAGACAUGCACUAUGUGUGAUAGUUAUGAGGACAACGUCAGUUAUCUCAUUUGCCAUUUUAUGUGAUAUCAAGUUAAUGAAUCUCGUGAAUUAAUACGAGCGUGCUGAUGAACCGGUGUUUUUUUAAGCUAGACUGCUGCAUGCUAGCGGGCUUCCGUUAGCCACCGAUAGUCCACUGAAUACUUAGCAGUUUGAACUAGUUUGGGCGCGAAUUCGACGACAGUUUUGUAAGUCGCAUAUAAAUGUGGAGAAUACGUUUGGACUACUGAAUCUUAUUUCAUUUCAUGGUAUGUUUGUUCUUAUGGACCCUCUUUGUGAUGUUUCAGUUCGCUGAAAAGCAUCUAUGGAAGAGUUUGUCAGUUCCAAAUUGACUGAGUGGCAGCUACCGGGGCUGAUUGAAAGAUGCCAAGGGAGAAGUUGCCCUGACGCUGCUGCCCAUCCUGCUCCCUCCGCCUGUGUUUAAAAAGUGCAGGAAAUUGGUCCGGGCGAGUAUUCAGGAGGUGAAGAGAGCCUUCUUCGAUGUUAAGCCCGUCGGAGCUAACAUGGUGGAAUACUUGCAGCAGGCAGAAUCGCCUACCCAUUUGUGCUGCUGCUCCAGAGCCUCUUGUUCUAUGUAUAUAGUAUCACUCUCUCAUAGCUGUCCCCCUUUUUUUGUACAUAAUUUGUUCAUAUGUGAAGGAAAUGUUGUGAGUUGUUCUAUUUGUAUGUUCUGGAAAUGUUGAAUUUUAAUAAAUAUUUUAUUGUUACAUUGGUGUCAUUAUCAUUGUAAUAUAUUAUUAAUAGUAUUAACAUACAAUAAAAAAAAAUAUAUAUAUGGUAUAUUGGCAACCCAACUUGCUGGGUUGAAAUAACCCAGCCGUGUAGUAAAUAUGAGCAUGUUACAUUUGCCAUAUUUACAAUGAACCCAUCCUUAUCUCUGUUACAACAUUGGUUCUGUUGCUGCUGUGUUGUGCAAUAUACUUGUUGUCAAAGGGAGCUACGGUCCCUUUCCACUUUCUCAGGCACUCUAAAUCAUUAUUAAAGUUUUUAAAAAAAAGUUAAUCAUGCAAUAAUAUCAUCUAAAACAAGAAUAAUAUAAUAUUACAAAAUAAUAUCAUAAUAUUGGAUAAUAGUCCAAUUAUUGCCCCAUUCAGGUAAAUAAACACGCUGGCUAUACCAGAGCCAUUUUUAUGGGACUCAUUGUCAUCACCGAUAUUCUUGUGUGGUGACGUCCCAAAUAGGCCAAAGAAAAAGCAUAAUGUGCUCAUGGAGUUAAUUUGCUGACAUCUCAGAUGUUUAGCGACACCUUGGGGGGGCUUCCUGUCACAAACGUCCGACUGGCGCGCGAGCAGACAGGCCUCGCCGCUUAUUCUGAAUAUUUUAAUGAAGCAGACAGGGAGAGGCAGCGAUAAGGCAGGCCGGCUGAGGGUGGAGGAAAGGGACGGUGGGGUGUAAAAGAGAAAAAAAAAAGGUGAGUGACAAAGAACAAGCGGGAUGCUGACAUACGGGGUGAAAUUAUAGAGUGGAUGGGGGAGAAGAAUGGCGAGAGUGGAAGUGAAAGGAGGAAAGCUUUUUUUUUGACAGAAAGAGGGUGAAAUGAGUGGGUGGAACGGGAAGA